GCACAAGUACAAAACAACAACACUGAUCCUUCCUUAUUUAAAAAUGAGAGGGAGCUCCCUUGUGGUGUAGUGGGUUAAGGAUCUGACAUUGUCACUGCUGCAGCUGCAGUGACUGCUCUGGUGCAGGUUUGAUCCCUACCCCAGGAACUUCCCCAUGCCCUGCACAGCCAAAACAAAACAAAACAAAACAAAAAAACAGAAUAUUUUGUUUAUCAUGGAUUUUUUUGUGCAGUAAUUUAGAUUUUUUUAAAAAAAAAUAUUGCAUCAAAAUACAGUUCAUCUUUUUUUUUUUUUUUUUUUUUUUUUCUCUUUAGGGCCAUACCUGCAGCAUAUGGAAGUUUCCAGGUUAGGGGUCGAAUUGGAGCUGCAGCUGCCAGCCUACACCACAGCCACAGCAACGAAAGAUCCUUAACUCACUGAGUGAGGCCAGGGAUUGAAACCGCAUCCUCAUGGAUGAGUCGGAUUCUUAAACUGCUGAGCCACAAUAAGGACUCCAAGUUUGUGGGGCCUGCCUUGAACUGUACACCUGAGGCAAGUGCCUCUCUUGCCUCACCCUAGUCCCCACCCUGCAGGGCAGCCUUCACAAUGCCUCCAGCGUGGCCCUUGAGACCUGGGACCAAUCGCAUGCCUUCUCUGUCUGAUUGUCUUCAUUCACAUGUAGGGGAGGGUGGACUAGACAGCCCCUCGGGCCCUCCAGGUCCAAGAUAUGGGGUUUCAUGACUAGGUAUGGGGAAACUGGGUGGAGCAGGAGACAAUGAGUCCCAGUCCGGGAAGAGAAAGGGAAGCUGUCUGCCUCCUCCUACCAGAGAAAGAGGACCAGUAGAAGUUCAACUUUUGCUUGAAUUGAAUCUCAGUUUCCCCAAUAGCUACAACAAGCCAAAGGAAAGGACUCUGUGGCCAAGGUGGAAUAUCCUAGAAUUCUAUGGUGCAUUCUGACUCUGAUUUCUUGACAACCCUAUAAGAUGGGUCCUACUACUAUUCUUGGAUGAAUAAUAGAAAAACAGAGGCUCUGAAAAGUUACAGACCUGUCUAGGGUUACAGUGUUUGUAAGUAGUGAAGCUCACACUUGAACCCAGGCAGGUGAAUUCUACCCUCUACUGUCUACCCAAGAGGUCUCACUGCCCAAGGCAAACUAGCCUCUGCAACCAGAUUCCUGUGACAUGCAGUUGAUUUACUCCACUUCCAAAUGAGAAACAGAGAAGCCACCUGUUAAUAAAGGCAGCACCAGGACCA
rnacentral:lncRNA from 1 species